UACGGAGGGAGCUAGCGUUGUUCGGAAUUACUGGGCGUAAAGGGCUCGUAGGCGGCCAACUAAGUCCGACGUGAAAUCCCAAGGCUUAACCUUGGAACUGCGUCGGAUACUGGAUGGCUUGAAUUCGGGAGAGGGAUGCAGAAUUCCAGGUGUAGCGGUGAAAUGCGUAGAUAUCUGGAGGAAUACCGGUGGCGAAGGCGGCAUCCUGGACCGACAUUGACGCUGAGGAGCGAAAGCUAGGGGAGCAA
rnacentral:rRNA from 1 species